UACGAAGGGGGCUAGCGUUGCUCGGAAUUACUGGGCGUAAAGCGCACGUAGGCGGCUCUUUAAGUCGGGGGUGAAAUCCUGGAGCUCAACUCCAGAACUGCCUUCGAUACUGAAGAGCUUGAGUCCGGGAGAGGUGAGUGGAACUGCGAGUGUAGAGGUGAAAUUCGUAGAUAUUCGCAAGAACACCAGUGGCGAAGGCGGCUCACUGGUCCGGUACUGACGCUGAGGUGCGAAAGCGUGGGAGCAAACAGG
rnacentral:rRNA from 1 species